rnacentral:rRNA from 1 species
AUAAGUUUAAUCGUUUUAACGAGAAACCGCGAACGGCUCAUUACAAUGGCCAUGAUUUACUUGAUCUUGAUUAUCUAAAUGGAUAACUGUGGAAAAGCUAGAGCUAAUACAUGCACCAAAGCUUUGUCCUCUCGGAAAAGCGCAUUUAUUAGAACAAAACCACGCGGCUUCGGCUGCUUCUUGUUGACUCAGAAUAACUAAGCUGACCGCAUGGCCUUGUGCCGGCGGCGUGUCUUUCAAGCGUCCACUUUAUCAACUUGACGGGAGCAUAAUCGACUCCCGUGGUGGUGACGGAUAACGGAGGAUCAGGGUUCGACUCCGGAGAAGGGGCCUGAGAAAUGGCCACUACGUCUAAGGAUGGCAGCAGGCGCGCAAAUUACCCACUCUCGGCUCGAGGAGGUAGUGACGAGAAAUAACGAGACUGUUCUCUUUGAGGCCGGUCAUCGGAAUGGGUACAAUUUAAACCCUUUAACGAGUAUCAAGCAGAGGGCAAGUCUGGUGCCAGCAGCCGCGGUAAUUCCAGCUCUGCUAAUACAUAGAAUUAUUGCUGCGGUUAAAAAGCUCGUAGUUGGAUUCGUAUCGGUACCUUGGAACCCUUCGGGUGUUUCUGGGUGUUAUCGAUUUAUCGUAAUGUUCGGUUUUGAGUCCUUAACAGGAUUUUUAACAGUCAUUGCAAGUUUACUUUGAACAAAUCAGAGUGCUUCAAACAGGCGUUUUCGCUUGAAUGAUCGUGCAUGGAAUAAUAGAAAACGAUUUCGGUUCAGUUUUAUUGGUUUUACGGACUGAGAUAAUGGUUAACAGAGACAAACGGGGGCAUUUGUAUGGCCCCGUGAGAGGUGAAAUUCUUGGACCGUGGCCGGACAAACUACAGCGAAAGCAUUUGCCAAGAAUGUCUUCAUUAAUCAAGAACGAAAGUCAGAGGUUCGAAGGCGAUCAGAUACCGCCCUAGUUCUGACCGUAAACGAUGCCAACUAGCGAUCCGCUGAUGGAAAUUAUAUUGCCUUGGUGGGGAGCUUCCCGGAAACGAAAGUCUUCCGGUUCCGGGGGAAGUAUGGUUGCAAAGCUGAAACUUAAAGGAAUUGACGGAAGGGCACCACCAGGAGUGGAGCCUGCGGCUUAAUUUGACUCAACACGGGGAAACUCACCCGGCCCGGACACUGUGAGGAUUGACAGAUUGAUAGCUUUUUCAUGAUUCAGUGGAUGGUGGUGCAUGGCCGUUCUUAGUUCGUGGAGUGAUUUGUCUGGUUUAUUCCGAUAACGAGCGAGACUCUAACCUACUAAAUAGUUGGUACAUACUCUUUGUGUAUACAGCUUCUUAGAGGGAUUUGCGGCGUUCAGCCGAAAGAAAUUGAGCAAUAACAGGUCUGUGAUGCCCUUAGAUGUCCGGGGCUGCACGCGCGCUACACUGGCAAAAUCAACGUGCUUGUCCUACCCUGAAAGGGGCGGGUAAACCAUUGAAAAUUUGCCGUGAUUGGGAUCGGAAAUUGCAAUUAUUUUCCGUGAACGAGGAAUUCCAAGUAAGUGCGAGUCAUCAGCUCGCGUUGAUUACGUCCCUGCCCUUUGUACACACCGCCCGUCGCUGCCCGGGACUGAGCCAUUUCGAGAAAUUUGGGGACCGUUGAUUUAAUUUAUCUAAAUUAUUUUGAUGGAAACCAAUUUAAUCGCAGUGGCUUGAACCGGGCAAAAGUCGUAACAAGGUAGCUGUAGGUGAACCUGCUGCUGGAUCAUUACUUUAUGUGAUGUUCAAUUUUGAAUUCCCAUGAAAUAUAUGUUGUGAAACGGCUGUCGCUGGUGUCUACGUGUUGCUGAUACUGUUGUGAACGUCCGUGGCUGUAUAUGUGGUGACAUGUUAGGACUAUUAUGAGUUUAAGACUUAAUGAGCCUCUUAAGUGAGGACGCCAGCACUCUUUUUUUCUCUAUAUUUUUUAAAAAAAA